ACGGCUGCCCGGCGCCUUCACCGCGUGCGCUCAUCCUGCCUCCCGCCGCCGCUACCGCUGCCGCCGCCGCUCCUACCGCCGCUGCAGCCGCUUCGCCUCUGCCGCCCCGAAUCUGCCCAGCACCUUUCGGGAGACUGUGAGUGCCUCCCAUGACCAAACUCAACAAGAAGCCAACAAGCAAGGGAACUUGGAUGACGUAAGCCACCAGCAUGGGCCUCCAGGCUUUGUGGGACUUCCCUGGUGGCACAGUGGUUAAGAAUCCGCCUGCCAAUGCAGGGGACACAGGCUCGAGCCCUGGUCCGGGAAGAUCCCACAUGCUGCUGAGCAACUAAGCCCGUGCGCCACAACUACUGAGCCUGUGUUCUACAGCCCGCGAGACACAACUACUGAGCCCGCGUGCCUAGAGCCCGUGCUCCACAACAAGAGAAGUCACCGCAAUGAAGAGUAGCCCCCGCUCGCCGCAACUAGAGAAAGCUCGCACGCAGCAACAAAGACCCAAUGCAGCCAAAAAUUAAAAAAAAAAACAAAACAGGCUUUGUAAAUCACUCACAAAAUCAACAUUUUUUUUCCCUUAGAAUUAUAGCUGAUGUAUAUGGGAAACCUGGGCUGUUGAAGAAGUUGCAUAAUGCAACACGAUAAAUUGAAACACUCUGCCCCU